rnacentral:lncRNA from 1 species
GUCGUGACCGUUCCAGCCACCGCCAAGGUAAGGUGCUUUCUCCAUCUCAAUUUCCUUCCUUCCCCAUCAAGGUUAAUUUGGAUGCGUACUUAAGUGAUUUUGGUGUUGCUCAUCGGAUUUGUAUAUGUACGUACGUGUGUCUUCGAUCUGCUUCAUUUGGAUACGUUGUUAAGUAAUUCACAUCUUCCCCGUUACAAUACGUGCAUGAUCUUGUCUUGUGCUCUCAGGUAGGGAUGGCAAUGGGUACCCAUUACCCGCGUACCCGGCGGGUAAAAACCCUAUUAGGGUAAGGGUAUGAGAUAAAAAAAUACCCAUGGGUAUGUAAAUAGAAAAAUACUAAACCCAUUGAGUACAGUGGGUAUGGGCAUGGGAUAGCAUAACCCAUACCCGUGUACCCAUAUACCCACGUAAAAUCUGUUAAUGGACCUUCACAGCUUCACUAUUCAUAUAUCAAUCUAACUUCCCACAAAAUUAGUCUAUAUAUUCCACGAGAUACAUGUAGCAUUGUAGCCCACAUACGCACGUACAUGGAAAGAAUCUACGUGAUUAGCGUGAUUUGGCUUCGGCGAAUAAGGAAUACGUGAUCACGUCCCAUAUUGAGAGAGACAGAGAUUGAUAUCCUCCUCGUCUCCUCGUGACCUCGUCUCUCAUCUCAUCUGAUCAUCUCGGGGCUCCUCGCCUCCUCGGGCAUCGCUACUUUGCUAGUCGCCGCUGCCAAUGCGUCCAGCUGCUGGCUACCUCGCCGUCGCCAGUGCUUCCAGCCACUCAGACGCCAUGGACCUUGGGGAGGACCAUAGCCUACGCGAGGACGGCGACCGGGAGAAGGAGAUGCAGCUCACGCUCAAGCGGACUGAGUCGGACGGCGGCGACCACCACGGCCAGGAGCAUGGGCAUGGCACGGCUGCCCUGAUCCCAAGCCUAACACCGUCGUUGGAUGGUGCCAUCCGUCUCCAUCCGCCAGGAAAGGGGCAAGCCCCCGGCCGACGUAAGGGACCUCUUGUCUCGGCGUCGAAGGUGCAGCAGCGUUACGACACUUCAAGCCGGCCACGUCGCCCUAGCCCGCUUAGUCGAUCCUCUACUGUCAUCAAGCACAAGAACAAGAGCAAGGCUAUAUUGGCUUGGUGAGUUUCAAUUUUAUGUAUGAUUUUGUGCAUUCGUAGAUGAUACAUAGAUGUAUAGAUGAUGUGAUGAUAUGAUGUUUUUUUCGUGCAUAUAUAAGUUAAAAUAAGUAUUGAUUUUCUACCUAUGCAUGAUGUAUAUAGCUGUUGUGAUGAAUGAGGUUUUUGUAUAUCCGAGAAAAGAAGUAUUUGUUACUGAGAUGAGAUAAGUGUAGCAAAUUGUGUUCUAGUACAUCACUCGCUGUGUGAUUUUUUAGCAUUGUAACAACAUAGAUAGAAUCGGCAGUGGCCGGUGGCAGAAUAUUUUAGAUCUAUUUAAUGUGGCGUGGUAACUGAUCGUCUCUGCUUUUGUACAAGAUCAUUUUGUAAACAUCUACCUUCCCAGUUUCCAGGGGUAAAAAUGCAGAGACAUUGUAACUUGUUUCAGACUACUUAUAGUAAACAAAAUACAGUAAGAUUCAGGCCCAUUUAAGACAGCACUACAGCUGCACGUUUUGGUCAGAAAAAUGAUGACUUGCAGUUAAUAAAAAUUCGAAGUGCUCUACGAUUCGAAAUUAACUCUUCCUGGAAAUAUAAUCGUUGGACUGAAAAGAAAGAAUGCUGAAAACAAAAAAUUAACUAUUUAUAGUUGCUGUGAUGAAUACAUUUUUUUGUAUAUAGAUGAUAUCUACAGAUGUUAUGAUGCAUAUAUGAGCAUCAUACUUUCAGUUCACAUGUAGAAUCAAGUAUUAUAUUAAGAAGACUUCAAGAAUUUGAUGUAUUUUUUCAUUUAUGCUCAUUUUGCAGUGGUACAAGUUCAAGCAACCAAGUAGAUGUUCCUUGUGAUGCAUCUGCCCCAAUGGAUGAAGAUGGAGAUCAUGUCAUUCUUUCAGAUGAUGAAGAUGGACAGGAGCAGGAGGUGGAAGAGGUCAAUGAAGCAGGCAAACGGAAGCUAACUUCUAAAGUUUGGUUGGAAAUGAAGAAGAUCAAGAUCAAUGGGCAAUGGAAAGCAAAGUGCAACUAUUGUCACAAGGAACUUGUUUCAGGACCCAGAGCAGGCACGAAGCAUCUUGCUACUCACCUAAAGAUUUGUACUCUGAAGAUGUUGAAGACGAAGGGAGGCAAAACAUUGAGUCAGCCAUCAUUGAGGAUGAAUGCUAAGGACGACGGUAACGUUUUUUUGGAGAGCUAUACCUUUGAUCAAGAGGUUGCUAGAAGAGAGCUUGGUAACAUGUUGGUGUUGCAUGAGUACCCACUGUCUAUAGUGGAACAUGCUGGUUUUAGGAAGUUUGUUCAUGCACUUCAGCCACUAUUCAAGCUACAUACAAGAAAUACUUUUAGGUAUACCUUGCUAUGGUUUUAUUUGAUUUAUUUCCGUCUACCUUCUUCUAUGAAAUGAGGAGGUAACAUAUGGUAUCCUCUUCUUUUGUCUUUUAGGCAAGAUAUUGUGGAAAAUUAUGAAGAAGAAAAAAAGAAGGCAAUUGAUUACAUGACUAUGAACCAAUCUAGGGUUGCUAUCACUACAGAUAUGUGGACUGCUGACCACCAAAAGAAGGGAUAUAUGGCUAUUACAGCUCAUUUCAUUGAUGAAUCUUGGAAGCUUCGAAAUGUUAUCAUGAGGUACUACUAUGUGCUGCUGUAUAUUAUGUGUUGCUGAUCAUAUGCUGCUGUUUAUGAUGUGCUGCUGUUUAUGAUGUAUUGCUGACUAAGAUGUGCUGCUGUUUAAUAUGUGUUGCUGUCUAUGAAGUGCUGCUGUUUUUAUGUGUUGUUAUUUAUUAUAUGCUGUUGUUUAUGACUAUAUGUUGCUGAAUACUGCAGGUUUGUAUAUGUUCCAGCUCCUCAUACAAGUGAAGUGAUAUGUGAGGUGCUCUAUGACUCCCUGCUUCAAUGGAAUAUUGAUGAAAAAUUGAUGGCAGUGACUGUGGAUAACUGCACCACCAAUGACAAGGCAAUUGAGAUGAUUGUGGGGAAGAUAGGGAAGGAGAAGCUCCCUUUGGAAGGUACUCUGCUGCAUAUGCGUUGUAGUGCACACAUCUUAAAUCUUAUAGUUAAGGAUGGAUUGCAUGUUAUGAAGUCAGCUAUAGAAAACAUUAGGGAAAGUGUGGCAUAUUGGACCGCGACAGGAAAAAGGAUAGAGAAGUUUGAGGAGAUGGCUAAGUUUAAGAAAGUAAAAAUAACAAGAAAGUUGAUUCUUGAUUGCAAAACUAGGUGGAAUUCCACUUUCAUGAUGCUAGAAGCAGCUUUACCAUAUAGAGUUGUUUUUGAACGUGCAAAACAAGUUGACAAACAAUAUGAGCAUUUACCUAGUGAUAAAGAAUGGGAGUUUGCUGCAGAGAUGGUGGAGAGACUUGGCUUAUUCUAUGAGAUAACUAAGUUGUUCUCCGGAACUAAUUAUGUGACCGCUAAUGUUUACUUCCCUAGAAUCUGUGAGAUUAAAAUGAAAAUGAGACAGUGGGCCACUUGUAGCAACCCAAUUAUCAAAAAACUCUCUGAGGAAAUGACAACUAAAUUUGAUAAGUAUUGGACGGACAUUCAAGAUCUCAUGGGGAUGGCUACACUUCUUGAUCCUCGGUACAAGAGGCACAUGUUGACUGCUUGCUUUGCCAUGCUUCAUGGCAUUGAGCCAUCUUCUUAUGAGUGUGUGGAGUUGGUUGAUGCAUUAGUUGCUAGAUUACAUUCACUGAUAGAGGAGUAUGAAGUGGAAGUAGAUGAAUAUAAACCAUGUGAAGAAUUGAUUUCUUCAAUGAAAGCUCCAGCCAUCAUGAAUAUUUUCAAUGACAUUGUCGCCAAACAAAGUCCUGCUACAGCUCGGUUGCAAGGUGAAAUAGAUAUGUACUUGGCAGAUGGCCUAGUGCCAUACACAGAAGUAUUUAGUGUGUUGGAUUGGUGGAAAGUAGCUGGAACAAGAUAUCCAACAUUAAGGAAGGUUGCCAGAGAUAUUUUUGCCAUUCCCGUGACAACAGUUGCUUCAGAAUCGGCCUUUAGUACAAGUGGCAGAAUACUUAGUGAACAUAGGAGCCGCCUAACUCCUGAUAUGGUGGAAGUUUUGAUGUGCUCCCAAGAUUGGCUUAGAAACAAAUGCAAAGGUGAGCAAAUAAUGUAAUUUUUUUUCAAACUUACUCUUUAUUUAACUAUUUCUAAUCAUGUCUUGUCAUCUCUACAAAUUGUGUGUUUUAGAUGCUCAUAAAGGAGAUGCUAGCUUUUGGACUUGCCUUCAAGACAUUCAAGAGGGGAUGCAGGUUAGUAUUCACCAACACAUUUCCUUUGCCGAUAGAUUAUUUGAGUGCAUAUGCUAUAAGAAAAAUUCUAAUAAAAUGACUACAUUCAUGUUUCCAACCAGGACUUGGCCCUUUGAGAUGUAGAGACAUGGUCUCGGCGAGUUAUGCUCAAGAUUGACGACUUAUUGUGCCAAGGUCUUCAUUAUGCUACUAUCGGAUUGGUCGAGUUUAUUUUAAUUGAACUAGUUACAAUGUCGAAACUUUAUUGGGAUGCUUAUUUUGUGGCCUUAUGUACGGUCAAAUUACCUCCAUACUUUGUCGUGAUUUUGUGAACUUAAAAUAAAUGACUAUGUGUUGCUGCAUACAAAUAAGUGGUGUUGUUUAUGGGAUUGUGUUUUCUUUAUGAUGUGUUGUUGUUUAUUAGUAUGUGAUGUCUAUAAAUUAUGUUGAUAUGUUGUCGUUUAUGAUUAUUUCUUCCUCAAGUUGAUGUCCGCACACGUGGGUAUUUAUACCCGUGGGUACCCAUUUACCCUGUCGGGUGAUGGGUAUGGGGAAAAAUUGUACCCGUUGACGGGUAUGGGUACGGGUGAUGGGUAAGCUCAAAGGGGAUGGGUAAGGGUAUGGGGUAACUCCACCCGUACCCAAACCCGGUGGGUGCCAUCCCUACUCUCAGGUUUAUAUAUUUGCUUGCUUAACAUCUAUCCUACUGCCUGGAAUCAGCAGUCAAUUUGUUCAGGAAAAGAAAUCCACUUAUUAGGAAGUAAAGUGAAGCAACCAUAUGGAUCCAUCAAUUUGUUGAUUGUACUUUGUUUGAUGUGUGAUGUGCUUGUGUGGUGAGAGGCGAGGAGUGGCUUUAGGUCCCUCUCCUUUUUGCCUGACUGAGCAAGAAGAGAAGAGAAACAGUAGGAGGAAUUCAGAACUGUAUUUCCUCAAUUCAGAUUUACCUUUGUUCAGUGACAAGUUCAGACCAAGUACAUUACCCAGCCGGCACACAGGCCCCACUCACACAUGAUUAACUCACACGCACACCUGUACCCUGCGCCACCGAACACCACAUAUGGAGGAGGUGGCGCCAGUGUACAGCUAAGGCACGACGUCAUGCAUGACAUGGUUCUGUAUUCUGUAUACAGUGUGAUACAAAUAGUUCAAACAUGCUCUGAGUGUUGAAAAAUUCAAAUUUGGUACUGCAAUUUCUCUUGAACGAUUUACUUUUGUGUUUUUAUUUGUCCUGUAUUUACUUUUUGAUGCUGAUAUUGCAGGGUUUAACGACUGCUUCAAUAUUGUAGGAAGAAGUGUGGAACUAGAAGCAUCGGUAGAAAUAGUAAUGAAGGCAAGACCGACUUAGAAAAGCUUUUGUUUUUUGUUUACUGUGGUCUUCUUACAUAAUUUAAGUUUUAGAUCUAAUGCAUGAGCAGAAAAUGCUAGGUUCUUAAUACCUGUGAGAUGAUAUGCAGGACAGUAUAUUUAUUUAUUUACUUAGGGAAGGAGAGAAUAUAAUUUAGGUAUAAUGUACAUGGUCAUUUUACUUUUACUUUGACAUAUGCUUAUGUUCCUUUUUUUGUAGCCAGAUCAAACUCAGCACAGAUGUACAUGCACCGCGCGCCUCACUGAUGUGAGGAUCCAUUUCCUCAAUCCCCUCUUAAUCUCCAACAUCUCCCCAUUCCAAUGUUGGCGUACUUGACCGGAAGUGAGUGCGCGGCGGAGCAAAGCUCAGCCUGGGUCUUCAUCAACGCAAAAUGGGGCAGGAGGGAGCGGGAAGUUUUUCAGCCGCAUGAAUGUGGAAGGCGUUUGACAAAUCAGAGAUGUAUGAA